CAGAAAAUAGUUUACUUUUUAAAAUAUUAAUUUUGGAAAUUAAAGAAAAAGCCUGCUUUUUUUCUGA
rnacentral:tRNA from 1 species